rnacentral:lncRNA from 1 species
CCAACUCUGUGACCUUUGAACCCAGGGUGGAGCGAGGUGUUCCCUGGGGUCGCGACCUCUUUACCUUUGUGACAUCAGCAGCAGGCCACAUGAUGCGGACACUCCAGAGACCAAGGAAGAACAGGCCGUCCAAACGUCAAGUCAACCACCGGCGCUUCCUACACAACAUGAUCCAGAGGAAGUUUGCAGAGAUAGAGGCAGCCAAUCACCAGCUUGUGUCUGUCCUCUUCUCAACGGAGGUAGCGAAUAGCGACACACCUUCCCCAUCACGACAGCCAAUAACCACUGACCAAUCUAACAGCACCUCUAAAGAAGACUCCCCUCCAGCUCCUGUAAGUGCAGAAGCAGACCUUUCCCUUUGUUCACAUGGAACUGAAGCCCUUGCAACAGAACAGAAAGACCCUGGAGACCAAUGGAGGAGACUCAACCCCAAACAUCUCCAAAUGGACCAGUCCAACAGCAACACUCCAAGUAAAGGAACAUACCAUACGACUCAUAAACAGUGGGGCAGAACAGAAAAUCAAACUGACUAUAGAUCAUCCAUAACAUCAGAGAAAACCAUUGUCUUAGAACAAGAGGAGGAACACUUUCACACAGAACCCUUCAGUUGUGAUGUCACUUCAGAGGAGAGCCUUUAUAGCUGGAUAGACAGCAUUAGAGAGAAAUAUGAAACACAACUCAGACGCGACUCAAAUUCAAAUAUCAUGGCCCCAACUCAAAACCAGAGGGCUCUACCUCUAAACUUGGAUACCUCAACUUUCAACCCAACACCCCUCUCGCCCGGACUCUCCCCUCUGUCCCUAGAUUCCUGUGACUUUGGGGUCACAACGGUCGCAGACAACUCCGCUUGCUCCCAGUCCCAAAACAAUAUGGCAGACAGUGACACAGUGGAGAGCCAGAGAAUGGACAUGUUGAUGCUGUGGGACUCAGAGGUUGAACCACAGAAUGAUGGGGACCCUCCGGCCCAUCUAGAGACCAUCUGGGGGUAUCCUGGUGAAGAGAGGAGCCUAGGUGAUAAGGCGCACGUUGAUGACAUCACGUAUCAGAACCAAUCCGAAAGUUUCAUAGAGAAGUUGAUGCUCCACACCAGCAGCAGCAGGAGUGACGGUAGAUCUGAGAUGGAGCGGAUUGACUGUGAUGGAGGGCAGUAUGAAUACGGAUCUGGAUACGGAUGUUCUAUAGAUCCAGUAACAGCCAUAAGAGACUUCAUUAGUGGCCAGGGCAGCUCACAGUGUAUGUUGGAGAGUGCUGUGGGAAGACAAGGUACAGAUAGGCAGUUCACCUGUUUAAAUAUUACCCCAAACCAACUGUCCACCUCUGUAGGCUACCAUUGUGACUUCCCAG